UACUACGAUUAGAAAAGGAAUCAAAUGGUACAGAAAACUUGGCAUUCAACUCCUUCUGGGAAAUUCUGUUGUAAACCCUUUGACAGUUUCCGUUCGGAAAAAUGAUUCCCGAAGAAACAUUAGACGCGCAUGCAAAUUAUGUUAUGCAAAUAGAAGACGUCGAAUGGGCCGAACAAAGACACAAAAGAAUU